GAUGAACGCUGGCGGCGUGCCUAAUACAUGCAAGUCGAGCGAACGGACGAGAAGCUUGCUUUUCUGAUGUUAGCGGCGGACGGGUGAGUAACACGUGGAUAACCUACCUAUAAGACUGGGAUAACUUCGGGAAACCGGAGCUAAUACCGGAUAAUAUUUUGAACCGCAUGGUUCAAAAGUGAAAGACGGUCUUGCUGUCACUUAUAGAUGGAUCCGCGCUGCAUUAGCUAGUUGGUAAGGUAACGGCUUACCAAGGCAACGAUGCAUAGCCGACCUGAGAGGGUGAUCGGCCACACUGGAACUGAGACACGGUCCAGACUCCUACGGGAGGCAGCAGUAGGGAAUCUUCCGCAAUGGGCGAAAGCCUGACGGAGCAACGCCGCGUGAGUGAUGAAGGUCUUCGGAUCGUAAAACUCUGUUAUUAGGGAAGAACAUAUGUGUAAGUAACUGUGCACAUCUUGACGGUACCUAAUCAGAAAGCCACGGCUAACUACGUGCCAGCAGCCGCGGUAAUACGUAGGUGGCAAGCGUUAUCCGGAAUUAUUGGGCGUAAAGCGCGCGUAGGCGGUUUUUUAAGUCUGAUGUGAAAGCCCACGGCUCAACUGUGGAGGGUCAUUGGAAACUGGAAAACUUGAGUGCAGAAGAGGAAAGUGGAAUUCCAUGUGUAGCGGUGAAAUGCGCAGAGAUAUGGAGGAACACCAGUGGCGAAGGCGACUUUCUGGUCUGUAACUGACGCUGAUGUGCGAAAGCGUGGGGAUCAAACAGGAUUAGAUACCCUGGUAGUCCACGCCGUAAACGAUGAGUGCUAAGUGUUAGGGGGUUUCCGCCCCUUAGUGCUGCAGCUAACGCAUUAAGCACUCCGCCUGGGGAGUACGACCGCAAGGUUGAAACUCAAAGGAAUUGACGGGGACCCGCACAAGCGGUGGAGCAUGUGGUUUAAUUCGAAGCAACGCGAAGAACCUUACCAAAUCUUGACAUCCUUUGACAACUCUAGAGAUAGAGCCUUCCCCUUCGGGGGACAAAGUGACAGGUGGUGCAUGGUUGUCGUCAGCUCGUGUCGUGAGAUGUUGGGCUAAGUCCCGCAACGAGCGCAACCCUUAAGCUUAGUUGCCAUCAUUAAGUUGGGCACUCUAAGUUGACUGCCGGUGACAAACCGGAGGAAGGUGGGGAUGACGUCAAAUCAUCAUGCCCCUUAUGAUUUGGGCUACACACGUGCUACAAUGGACAAUACAAAGGGCAGCGAAACCGCGAGGUCAAGCAAAUCCCAUAAAGUUGUUCUCAGUUCGGAUUGUAGUCUGCAACUCGACUACAUGAAGCUGGAAUCGCUAGUAAUCGUAGAUCAGCAUGCUACGGUGAAUACGUUCCCGGGUCU
rnacentral:rRNA from 1 species